AUGUUGUCAUAGUUCUUAAAAAUCUAUUGCACAAAACUGUGCAUAAAGGAUAUCUUUUUGAAUCUUUUCAAAAUUUUUGAAAUUUAGGAUCUCAUAUGUAGCAUAACGUAAUCAGAGAUCAAUAUUUUAAUUAGAUUGUCUAUUCCUUCUGUUCAGCAUUUUAGAAGACGGACAAAAGAUAAGUUGUAAUGAUAAAGUUGAUUUAAAACAGUAAUAAUAUUAUUAUUACACAUUUAAGAGCUAAUUACUUGUCAAUGAAUAAUAUUUGCAAAGAAAAUUGGUUAGAAAAAUGCCUUCGCUCUUACAAGCGUAAAAUGAAGCAGUAUAUUAAAACAUUUUAUUAAAGACGUCCAUCUUUGUUGAAAUUAGUUUAUCUGCUAAUUAGCUAAAAUGUCAAUGAUUUGUGUAAUUUUGGCUAAAUCUUGUUUAUCAAUAUAUUCACAUGAUUAUCGGAGGACUUAUGUGCUAAAAAACAAACACUUUUUUUAAUAUUCAUAUAUAAUGCAUGCUUUUCUAAAGAAUUAUCGCAGGUAAUGUAAUAUCUUGUGUUGAUAAUGUCAUGUACUAAUAAACAGUCGCAUUGGGAAUGGAUCCUCCCCCUUUUUUCAAAUUUUCCAAUAAAUCAGAUAAUUUAUCAACUCCAAAAAUACAUACCUUUUCGGUUUUUUUUGGGUUUUUUCUUUGUUUUUUGGUAGAUGGUUUGUAUGUUCAAUCACUCAACCAGCUAGAAAUUACAAAUUUUAAAUGCUUGAUAGAAUUUUUUAAAAAUAAACAAAAAAAGGGGAUCCAUUCCCCAGCCGCCUGUGUACUAAUAGGCUUCAUAUGUUUGAAGUGACAAUUAGUUGAAAUGAACUGAAAUAUCUUAACGCUAUACAUUGUAUUAACCACUUACUUUAAAUACAUCUUGUAACCAGUUGGUAUAAUGUAAUAAGCACACAUUUUUAAUAAAAACAUUUAUAAUGUCAUACCAAUGAAUCAUCGGGAGAUGCGGAUUUCAUAGAUUGAUGCAAAUUAUGAAUACAAGUACUGAAUUACAUAGAAUGAUCGUAUUAAGGAUACAAUCUUCAAAAUGAGUAAUUGAUGAUUAAAGGUUACAAAAGCACUAGUUCAUGUACAUUGUAUCAUCUUGAAGAUAUAAACAGCAUAUACAAUCGCUGCUCGAAUGUUGCUACAUAGAAAUGGAAAGUUUGAAAUGCGAAAGCAAAAAUCAUCCCUUGUAUCGUAAAAUUGUGUUUUCAACCAAAAAGAUGUACAAUAUCUAAAAGUAAACCAAGAAAAAACAGUCAUAUAUGGGUGGUGUCAUUUAUUUCAAAUUCGAUUGGAUGAUGACAUUCAAAUUAGUACUAUGCUAUGCUAUUUCUCAAGGGC
rnacentral:lncRNA from 1 species